AUUGAACGCUGGCGGCAGGCCUAACACAUGCAAGUCGAACGGUAACAGGAAGAAGCUUGCUUCUUUGCUGACGAGUGGCGGACGUGUGAGUAAUGUCUGGGAAACUGCCUGAUGGAGGGGGAUAACUACUGGAAACGGUAGCUAAUACCGCAUAACGUCGCAAGACCAAAGAGGGGGACCUUCGGGCCUCUUGCCAUCGGAUUUGCCCAGAUGGGAUUAGCUAGUAGGUGGGGUAACGGCUCACCUAGGCGACGAUCCCUAGCUGGUCUGAUAGGAUGACCAGCCACACUGGAACUGAGACACGGUCCAGACUCCUACGGGAGGCAGCAGUGGGGAAUAUUGCACAAGGGGCGCAAGCCUGAUGCAGCCAUGCCGCGUGUAUGAAGAAGGCCUUCGGGUUGUAAAGUACUUUCAGCGGGGAGGAAGGGAGUAAAGUUAAUACCUUUGCUCAUUGACGUUACCCGCAGAAGAAGCACCGGCUAACUCCGUG
rnacentral:rRNA from 1 species